rnacentral:rRNA from 1 species
UACGUAGGGUGCAAGCGUUGUCCGGAAUUAUUGGGCGUAAAGAGCUCGUAGGCGGUUUGUCGCGUCGAAUGUGAAAACCCGGGGCUCAACCCCGGGCCUGCAUUCGAUACGGGCAGACUAGAGUUCGGUAGGGGAGUCUGGAAUUCCUGGUGUAGCGGUGAAAUGCGCAGAUAUCAGGAAGAACACCCGUGGCGAAGGCGGCUCUCUGGAACGCAACUGACGCUGAGACGCGAAAAGCGUGGGGAGCAAACAGG